rnacentral:rRNA from 1 species
GACGAACGCUGGCGGCGUGCUUAACACAUGCGAGUCGAACGGUGAUGCUCCAGCUUGCUGGAGUGGAUCAGUGGCGAACGGGUGAGUAACACGUGAGCAACCUGCCCCAGACUCUGGAAUAAGCGCUGGAAACGGCGUCUAAUACUGGAUACGAAACUGGCCCGCAUGGGCAUGGUUUGGAAAGUUCUUCGGUUUGGGAUGGGCUCGCGGCCUAUCAGCUUGUUGGUGAGGUAAUGGCUCACCAAGGCGACGACGGGUAGCCGGCCUGAGAGGGCGACCGGCCACACUGGGACUGAGACACGGCCCAGACUCCUACGGGAGGCAGCAGUGGGGAAUAUUGCACAAUGGGCGAAAGCCUGAUGCAGCGACGCCGCGUGAGGGAUGACGGCCUUCGGGUUGUAAACCUCUUUCAGCAGGGAAGAAGCGAAAGUGACGGUACCUGCAGAAGAAGCACCGGCUAACUACGUG